GACGAACGCUGGCGGCGUGCUUAACACAUGCAAGUCGAGCGGGGAUACGAGGGAGCUUGCUCCUGAGUAUUCUAGCGGCGGACGGGUGAGUAACGCGUGAGCAACCUUUCUCUCAGUGGGGAAUAACACAGGGAAACUUGUACUAAUACCGCAUGAGACCACAGAGUCGCAUGACUUAGGGGCCAAAGAUUUAUUGCUGAGAGGUGGGCUCGCGUCUGAUUAGCUAGUUGGUGGGGUAACGGCUCACCAAGGCGACGAUCAGUAGCCGACCUGAGAGGGUGAUCGGCCACAUUGGAACUGAGACACGGUCCAAACUCCUACGGGAGGCAGCAGUGGGGAAUAUUGCACAAUGGGCGAAAGCCUGAUGCAGCAACGCCGCGUGAAGGAUG
rnacentral:rRNA from 1 species